GCCCAAAUCGCGCAAUUGGUAGACGCAGCGGAUUCAAGACCCGUCCAGUGUUGGUUCGAGUCCAACUUUGGGUACCA
rnacentral:tRNA from 1 species